rnacentral:rRNA from 1 species
CGACCAGCCACACUGGGACUGAGACACGGCCCACACUCCUACGGGAGGCAGCAGUGGGGAAUUUUGGACAAUGGGGGCAACCCUGAUCCAGCCAUGCCGCGUGCGGGAAGAAGGCCUUCGGGUUGUAAACCGCUUUUGUCGGGGAAGAAACGGUCUGCGCUAAUACCGCGGACUAAUGACGGUACCCGAAGAAUAAGCACCGGCUAACUACGUGCCAUCAUCCGCGGUAAUACGUAGGGUGCAAGCGUUAAUCGGAAUUACUGGGCGUAAAGCGUGCGCAGGCGGCUUUGCAAGACAGAUGUGAAAUCCCCGGGCUCAACCUGGGAACUGCAUUUGUGACUGUAUAGCUAGAGUACGGUAGAGGGGGAUGGAAUUCCGCGUGUAGCAGUGAAAUGCGUAGAUAUGCGGAGGAACACUGAUGGCGAAGGCAAUCCCCUGGACCUGUACUGACGCUCAUGCACGAAAGCGUGCGGAGCAAACAGGAUUAGAUACCCUGUGUAGUCCACGCCCUAAACUAUGUCAACUGGUUGUUGGGUCUUCACUGACUCAGUAACGAACUCACGCGUGAAGUUGACCGCCUGGAGAGUACGGCCGCAAGGUUGAAACUCAAGGAAGUGACUGGAGUCCCACACACGCGGUAGAUGAUGUCGUAUUAUUGCGAUGCUCUCGACAAAUCCUUACCCACCA